AUGAACACUUUCACUGAAAGUGCUGAAGAGGAUUCUGUAUUUACCACAGAACUUUACGUAUCCAAAAGUGCAGCUCAACAAGGAGCAUCAAGCAUUGAAUCAGCAGAGAACUCAGAUGAAGAACCCACAAGUGUCUCCAAAUACUUCUUAAGUGACAUCUUUACUGAAGUUGAUGAACUAGAAGACAUGGAUUUAGGCCAAAGUUAUGAAUUAGGAACGUUAAUUUCUCUCACAGUAAGUGAUUUUUCUUUUAUUAUUUAUUCAUCUUUUUUAAGAGCAGCUUUGAAACAAACCUCUAUUUUAAAUAUGCACUGUCCUGUUUUUAGCUCCAUGCUGUCUGCGUGUUGUAUUUUAGCAUUGCUCCACAUUAUUUGUAGCAAUUUAGAUUUCAACUUUUAACCUUUGUUCAGUUUUAUGCUCUUCAUAUUUGUUUUUCAUAGUUGUGUCUCAAGCAAAUGUUUUACUUGUGUUUGUAAAUAUGUUAAUAAAAAUGUACAGUAUGUUUGUAAAGGUUGAAUUUUACAUUUGUUUCCAUCUGUCUGAUUAUAUGAGAAAUAAUUUAUAUUUAUAAAUGACAAAUUUGAUGAUUUAGAUUCAACGUUUUUAAUAAUAGUCACUUAUUUUUUUAGCUACCUUGUAUGCAUGCAUGAAUGAAUAACGUACUUUAAUUGAACAGAAAUGUUACAUAGAUUAGCAAUUAAAGGGAUAGUUCAACCAAAAUGAAAAUUCUGUCAUUUAUUACUCACCCUCUUGUUUACAAGCAGAGGAAUGCACACUGAUGGACUAUUUACACACAUUAUUUUAACUGUCUUUUAUCUUUUUGGGCAUUGGACAUGGUAGUUGUGUUUCUGUCUAUGCCGGGUCAGAAAGCUCUCCGAUUUCACCAAAAAUACAUUAAUUUGUGUAAAAGAUUUUGGAAAAAAAUCCAAGUCCAGGCACUCAAUAGGAUGCAAAAGUAAAAAAGCCUUUAAUGGUUGGGCUAAAGCAUUAAAACACCAACGCGUAUCGGCCCAUUGGCCUUCAUCAGGGUGUUGGUAACAAACAGACAGAAUCACGCAGUACUUAUAGUUGCAUUGGUUUCAGGUGUGCCACUCUGGCACUUGUAACACAAUUUUUUGGCCACUAGAGGCAAUAGUUCAGAUAAUGGCUAAUACCAAAGAUCAAACCAUACAAAUACAAGAUAAGGGAUCUCCAAGUGGAAGAAAAAAAAAAAAAAAAAACAGGAGAGAGUAACACCAAUACAAACAUCUUGUGUACUCCACACAAUUAUAUCCAUAAAGUCAAAUAAAUGUGUAGAGGCUAGUUACCCAUCUUACUUCUGGAUUCAUUGUCAAGAUAGUUCCAAAGCAACAGGAGAAAAAUAUGUUUAUGGGCAUUACAGUACAUUAAAAGAACAGUCAACAUUCACGGACAACAAUACACUG
rnacentral:lncRNA from 1 species